GAUGAACGCUAGCUACAGGCUUAACACAUGCAAGUCGAGGGGAAACGACAUCGAAAGCUUGCUUUUGGUGGGCGUCGACCGGCGCACGGGUGAGUAACGCGUAUCCAACCUGCCCACCACUUGGGGAUAACCUUGCGAAAGUAAGACUAAUACCCAAUGAUAUCCCACGAAGGCAUCCGAAUGGGAUUAAAGAUUUAUCGGUGAUGGAUGGGGAUGCGUCUGAUUAGCUUGUUGGCGGGUAACGCCCACCAAGGCAACGAUCAGUAGGGGUUCUGAGAGGAAGGUCCCCCCACAUUGGAACUGAGACACGGUCCAAACUCCUACGGGAGGCAGCAGUGAGGAAUAUUGGUCAAUGGGCGAGAGCCUGAACCAGCCAAGUAGCGUGCAGGACGACGGCCCUAUGGGUUGUAAACUGCUUUUAUAAGGGAUAAAGUGAGUCUCGUGAGACUUUUUGCAUGUACCUUAUGAAUAAGGACCGGCUAAUUCCGUG
rnacentral:rRNA from 1 species